AACGAACGCUGGCGGCAUGCCUAACACAUGCAGGUCGAACGAUUGCCUUCGGGUGUUGUUGGCCCACGGGUGCGUAACGCGGGGGAAUCUGCCCUUAGUUUCGGAAUAACACCUGGAACCGGCUCCUAAUACCGGAUGAUAUCGCAGGAUCAAAGAUUUAUCGCCUGAGGAUGAGCCCGCGUUGGAUUAGGUAGUUGGUGGGGUAAAGGCCUACCAAGCCGACGAUCCAUAGCUGGUCUGAGAGGAUGAUCAGCCACACUGGGACUGAGACACGGCCCAGACUCCUACGGGAGGCAGCAGUGGGGAAUAUUGGACAAUGGGCGCAAGCCUGAUCCAGCAAUGCUGCGUGAGUGAUGAAGGCCCUAGGGUUGUAAAGCUCUUUUACCCGGGAAGAUAAUGACUGUACCGGGAGAAUAAGCCCCGGCUAACUCCGUG
rnacentral:rRNA from 1 species